GUAGGGUUUCCAGAGCACAGACAAGAUGUGCCUGAUUUCCACCAGACCUGUCACUCCCCGUCCAGUGACCAAGAGCAUGGGCAAUGGGAGAGAAGGAAGCUGGAUCCAGGAGGGAGGGCCUGAGACCCAAGCGCCUACCAAAAAGAAAUUUCCCAGGGAAAGGCUGUGAUUGGCUAGACCUGGGUCAUGUGCCCCACCCCGGAACAACCUUUGCAACAGCGUGGAAGAAACACCAUAGUGGGUCAGGCCUGGGUUAUGUGCCCAGCUAUGUAGCCAGAAGGAGGUGAAAGGGGAUGGACAGGCCCACCAGAGCCACAAGGUAAGGCGCAUUUCUCUAAAAAAAGGAAAGCUAGGCAGAUUAAAAAAACGAAAAACAAAAAACGGACAUUCAUUCUUGCUAUGUAUUUAUUUAUUGAGACAGAGUCUCUCUCUGUCUCCCAGGCUGGAGUGCAGUGGUACGAUCUCAGCUCACUGCAACCUCUGAUUCCCAGGCUCAAGUGAUUCUCAUGCCUCAGCCUCUCGAGUAGCUGGGACUACAGGCAUGCACCCCCAUGCUUGGAUAAUUUUUUGUAUUUUUUUUUUGGUAGAGACAGGGUUUCCCCAUGUUGGCUGGGCUGGUCUCGAACUCCUGGCCUCAAGUAAUCAGCCCACUUCAGCCUGAGGAUAACAUGGAAAGUUAUCUUCAACAUGGAACUGUGAAUUUGUGUGUUUCCGUGGAGCAUGGGGAUCAGGAGCCCAGACUCGGCAGCCAGAUGGCCUGGGCUCAAAUCCUAGCCCUGCCACUUUCUUACCAUCAUCUUAGGUGAUUGACUUCACCUCCUUGAGCCUCAAUUUCUUCAUCUGUAAAAUAGGCAUAAUAAUGGUGCUUGCCUCAUAUCAUUGGUGACGGGUUCACUAAGUCAAGCCAUGUCAAGCGUGUUGGAGUGGCACUUGGUGUGCAGUUGGUUUUUGAUCAAUGUUAGCGGUUGGAGAGGCCUAGAGCAGGGGUCGCCAGCUGGAAUGCCCUGAAGGGCCAGACAAUAAGCGAAUGAGGGGAGUGGGCCCACUUAGGCACACAGCGGGGAAUGGCGGGGACUGUAGCAAAAUGGAGUGGCUUGUCCCAUAUGAAGUGGGCAACUGGUCCCGGCCUUCGCUGACUGCCACCAUGAAGGGACAAGAGUACAGGAUGGCUGGUUUCUCUGUUUUCCAA
rnacentral:lncRNA from 1 species